CACGUAGGGUGCGAGCGUUGUCCGGAAUUAUUGGGCGUAAAGAGCUCGUAGGCGGUGUGUCGCGUCGGCCGUGAAAACCUGCAGCUUAACUGUGGGCUUGCGGUCGAUACGGGCAUCACUGGAGUUCGGCAGGGGAGACUGGAAUUCCUGGUGUAGCGGUGAAAUGCGCAGAUAUCAGGAGGAACACCCGUGGCUAAGGCGGCUCUCUAGUACGGUACUGACGCUGAGACGCGGAAGCGUGGGGAGCGAACAGG
rnacentral:rRNA from 1 species